rnacentral:lncRNA from 1 species
AUCAGAUGUGGCUUACCUGGUUCCUGAGUCAAUUCCAUCCAGGUAGGAGGAAUCCUAUCAGAAAGUAUGUGAGUGCGUUUGCAGAGUGCAUUCCUGUGGAGCCCCCUUAUCUCUGGCUGCAUCUGCUUCUGCAGGGAGAAAGUAUCCCUGCUGUGAGAGGUCUGGGAUCUGGAGUACAGAGGAUGGUGAAGCCAAGGCCUGAAGACCUUUCCUGCAAGGUCGCAGAGGAAGAGGCAGAAGAAGGACCAGAACCCAGCUCCCCUGACUCCCUAUCCAGUGCUCUUCUCAUAGAUUACAUUGCUUCAGCAUCCACCUGGCUAUUGCUCCAUCCAGGGGUUACAGGAGUCACUGACUGUUUUGGUUGCUUCUUGGUUGGAGGAUGUUGUGCCUCACCGAUGAGAGCCGGAAGCAAAGGUACCAGUUCUUAGAGGAAGCAUAGGAAUGUGUCCCUUCCUGCUCGGGUCUCUCAACUGAACUCAACCCUUCCUUGAUUGAUUGACAAGCAUGUUAUCUCUCAUAAUCCCUGCCCGGUAAGGGCUGAUGUCCCCAUUUUACAGAUGAGGAUAUUGGAGCUCAGAGAAGUGAAAUGAUUGCUGAAGGUCACACAGCCUGGCUUCAAGCCUCUCGGGCUCCAAAAGGCAUCUUCUGUUCUCUCCGUCAGGAAGCCUCUUUUGGAUGAUUAACUGAGAUUAAAAAUGAAAAGACACAUGAAAGAAAGGUCCUUUUUUUCAACCUGACAAGAACUAAGAAUGCCUCUGUAUUCCAGGCACCCAGACCAGGGUGGGCUGGAAAGCCAGCCAGAGAGAAAGCAGGAGAAAGAAAGCAUGUUCUAACAGGAAGGUUAAAG